GAUGAACGCUGGCGGCGUGCCUAAUACAUGCAAGUCGAGCGAACAGACGAGGAGCUUGCUCCUCUGACGUUAGCGGCGGACGGGUGAUUACCACGUGGAUAACCUACCUAUAAGACUGGGAUAACUUCGGGAAACCGGAGCUAAUACCGGAUAAUAUAUUGAACCGCAUGGUUCAAUAUUGAAAGACGGUUUUGCUUUCACUUAUAGAUUGAUCCGCGCCGCAUUAGCUAGUUGGUAAGGUAACGGCUUACCAAGGCAACGAUGCGUAGCCGACCUGAGAGGGUGAUCGGCCACACUGGAACUGAGACACGGUCCAGACUCCUACGGGAGGCAGCAGUAGGGAAUCUUCCGCAAUGGGCGAAAGCCUGACGGAGCAACGCCGCGUGAGUGAUGAAGGUUUUCGGAUCGUAAAACUCUGUUAUUAGGGAAGAACAAAUGUGUAAGUAACUAUGCACGUCUUGACGGUACCUAAUCAGAAAGCCACGGCUAACUACGUG
rnacentral:rRNA from 1 species